rnacentral:rRNA from 1 species
UACGAAGGGGGCUAGCGUUGCUCGGAAUCACUGGGCGUAAAGGGUGCGUAGGCGGGUCUUUAAGUUAGGGGUGAAAUCCUGGAGCUCAACUCCAGAACUGCCUUUGAUACUGAAGAUCUUGAGUUCGGGAGAGGUGAGUGGAACUGCGAGUGUAGAGGUGAAAUUCGUAGAUAUUCGCAAGAACACCAGUGGCGAAGGCGGCUCACUGGCCCGGUACUGACGCUGAGGUGCGAAAGCGUGGGGAGCAA